UACGAAGGGGGCUAGCGUUGCUCGGAAUCACUGGGCGUAAAGCGCACGUAGGCGGCUUUUUAAGUCAGGGGUGAAAUCCUGGAGCUCAACUCCAGAACUGCCUUUGAUACUGAGAAGCUUGAGUCCGGGAGAGGUGAGUGGAACUGCGAGUGUAGAGGUGAAAUUUCGUAGAUAUUCGCAAGAACACCAGUGGCGAAGGCGGCUCACUGGCCCGGUACUGACGCUGAGGUGCGAAAGCGUGGGGAGCAAACAGG
rnacentral:rRNA from 1 species